AUGGUGAUGGCGCCGGUGCACGCACCUGCAGAGAGUCGGUUUAAUGAUGUCAUCAGCCUGCGUGGGAGGGAUCUCCGUGAAACGCAUGGCGGUAACACUCGGCCAGUACGGCGCGGUUACCUUCUUGAGUCAACAGAACUUUGGAAACUCCUGCCUCCAACCAGCCCAAGUCACAGCACCAAGAUAGCAAGAAGACAGUCAGAGAGAGGAAGGCUAUAGGAGCAAAGGCGGAAAGCAAAUGCCAGGAGAAGGAGUCGAUUGGGAACAUUGGCGUGUUACCAUGGUGACGGAUUCACAGUAGUUUUGUCCCUGCUGCCGUUCUGGCGCCGCCUGCAUGUGAUGACGUCAGCGGAAGCGGAGGGAGUAGUUGUGCACGUUUUUCACCUGGUGUUUUAGACUAUGU